rnacentral:rRNA from 1 species
ACAGCAGUCGCCGCGGGAAUACGUAGGUGGCAAGCGUUGUCCGGAAUUAUUGGGCGUAAAGGGCUCGCAGGCGGUUUCUUAAGUCUGAUGUGAAAGCCCCCGGCUCAACCGGGGAGGGUCAUUGGAAACUGGGAAACUUGAGUGCAGAAGAGGAGAGUGGAAUUCCACGUGUAGCGGUGAAAUGCGUAAAGAUGUGGAGGAACACCAGUGGCGAAGGCGACUCUCUGGUCUGUAACUGACGCUGAGGAGCGAAAGCGUGGGGAGCGAACAGGAUUAGAUACCCCUGUAGUCCCUGUCUCUUAUAC